AAAAAAAGCCCCGCGUAUCUCUCUUCGUCUAUUUUCUCAGCGCCGCCUCCGUCACCGUAUCCUCAAGAUCACCAUGCCCGAAAUAAAAAAAAAAGAUCGAUGUUGUAGCUUCGUCGCUCAUCGCUAUUUCCAGGCAGCCGUCCAAAGUCUCCACCCCCUCCUCGCUGGCUCUGCCAUGGUUUCCUCAAGAUAUGCGUGGAUCCUUCCUCGCGUGUCUUCUCCCUCGGGUCACCCUUGCCGUGUAGCCGGCCAGGGCCUCCACCGCCUCCUCCAUGGUCUCCUCGCAUCAGGCAAAACGGGCGAAGGUCUCGACAACUUCCUCAGGGAUGUCAUCGUAUCGAAGAUCGCAAAUGUGUCGCCUCUGUUAUAGCGUAUGAUCAGGUCUUGACAUGUUACCGAUCAGCGGCUGGACGAGGAAAGAGAGCUUCUAUUGAUUGGUGGCUGUUGAUGCAAGGUUAUGGAAGCAACUUCCAUAGAAUUAAGUGCGCCAAUACUCAGGUUUCCUUCCGACAAAUAUGUCUACAGUUUCAUGUAACUGUUGCUACGUGUUAGUUAUUAUUUAUUUCAACAAUGUCUCAACACUGAUUCUUACUUUCCUUAUGUUAGUAUAGUAGUAUAGUACAGGAUUAACAAGAAUAUGUGCAGCAUUCAAGGAGUUGAUCUAUAUAUUGGUGACCUGUUUUGCGAGGAUAUAUUGGUGCCCUUUAAUACUAUGGCUUUUAAAAUGAAUAGAUAGAUCAAGCUGAAGGACGCCCAAGCGAUCAAUAGAUCAACUACCAUCUGCCUACUUGCUUAUUUGUUGGAACAAAAUCUCUUCCGAUGAGACGUAUUCUAUGUGCCCCGACUAUCUAUUUACUUCUCGAUUAAGGUGUUUAUGCACUGUAACCAUUAGUUACUUUGAAGAUUGAGAGUCUUAUUUCGUCAUGCAUCAUCGAGUUCUCCAUAUUUUGCUUCCGGAAGUUGCGUCCAAGAAUAAGAUGCCCAUGCCGCUACAAUUUUUUGGUAUGUAUUAUUCCAUCCAAUACCUUUGAACGUGUACCUAUUCAAGUGAAUUUUGUUUUAUCUCCCAAUGGACUCAUGGUACGUAUAUUAGUUGGCAAAACUGACCAGUACAAAUAGAGAACUAAACCAGCGGACAUAUAAUAUUUAAGACUGACAGUGAUGCUACCUUGAAAGCUUCUACUCUUUGCUUAGUUAUAUGCAAAGAAAGAAGUAUAAAUCUUUAUCUAUACAUGGAAACUUGGAGAUACAUAAACUGUACUCUUGGCACCAAAAUUUCUUAUUUAUGCAGGAGAAGAAAAAGAUUUCGUCCACUCAUGUACGGUUCCUGUCAUCUCCACUCUUUCCAUUGCAGAUGAAAUUUUAAUCUUUCUACAUGGUCAAAGGAAUUAUCUGAAAGUUUCCGAUCCCAUAUUGGUAUCCCAUGUACCGAUAACUGGUGGAUUCUCUUUAGUUAUUGUUUCAUCUGUUAUUUGGACCAGAUUUUUGUCUCAAGUGUAACCCAAACAUAUGGAGGGAUAAUAAGCUUUGCUAUUUGCAUUUUUUUAUUUGUAUUAAGU